rnacentral:tRNA from 3 species
GGGGGCAUGGCGGAAUGGUAGACGCUACGGACUUAAAAUCCGUUGACCGCAAGGUCGUGAGGGUUCAAGUCCCUCUGCCCCCA